rnacentral:rRNA from 1 species
AUUGGACGCUGGCGGCAGGCCUAACACAUGCAAGUCGAACGGCAGCGGGGGGUAGCUUGCUACCCCGCCGGCGAGUGGCGGACGGGUGAGUAAUGCCUGGGGAGCUGCCCAAUCGAGGGGGAUACCAGUUGGAAACGACUGCUAAUACCGCAUACGCCCUGAGGGGGAAAGGUGGGGAUCUUCGGACCUACCGCGAUUGGAUGCACCCAGGUGGGAUUAGCUAGUUGGUGAGGUAACGGCUCACCAAGGCGACGAUCUCUAGCUGGUCUGAGAGGAUGACCAGCCACACUGGAACUGAGACACGGUCCAGACUCCUACGGGAGGCAGCAGUGGGGAAUAUUGCACAAUGGGGGAAACCCUGAUGCAGCCAUGCCGCGUGUGUGAAGAAGGCCUUCGGGUUGUAAAGCACUUUCAGCGAGGAGGAAAGGUUGGCAGCUAAUACCUGUCAGCUGUGACGUUACUCGCAGAAGAAGCACCGGCUAACUCCGUGCCAGCAGCCGCCGUAA